rnacentral:rRNA from 1 species
GGAGUCCGACCCUUUACGAAGGGGAAGUAGAGGGCAUCAAGCUUCCAAGAAAAGCCCUAAAACCGUUAAUUUACCAACGCCUGUACCCGAAACCGACACAGGUAGGGAGGUUGAGAAAACUCAGGGGCGCGAGAUAACUCUCUCUAAGGAACUCGGCAAAAUGGCUCCGUAACUUCGGGAGAAGGAGUGCUUACGCAAGUAAGCCGCAGUGAAGAGGCCCAGGCGACUGUUUACCAAAAACACAGGUCUCCGCCAACUCGUAAGAGGAAGUAUGGGGGCUGACGCCUGCCCAGUGCCGGAAGGUUAAGGAAGUCGGUCAGGAGCAAUCUGAAGCUGAUGACUGAAGCCCCGGUGAACGGCGGCCGUAACUAUAACGGUCCUAAGGUAGCGAAAUUCCUUGUCGGGUAAGUUCCGACCCGCACGAAAGGCGUAACGAUCUGGGCACUGUCUCGGAGAGAGACUCGGCGAAAUAGAAUUGUCUGUGAAGAUACGGACUACCUGCACCUGGACAGAAAGACCCUAUGAAGCUUUACUGUAUCCUGGAAUUGGGUUCGGGCUUUGCUUGCGCAGAAUAGGUGGGAGGCUGUGAAGUUAUCCUUGUGGGGAUAAUGGAGCCAUCGGUGAGAUACCACUCUAGUAGAGCUAGAAUUCUAACUCUGACCCGUGAAUCCGGGUCGAAGACAGUUUCAGGGGGGCAGUUUGACUGGGGCUCGCCUCCUAAAAGGUAACGGAGGCGCGCAAAGGUUCCCUCAGAAUGGUUGGAAAUCAUUCGCAGAGUGUAAAGGCAGAAGGGAGCUUGACUGUGAGACCUACAAGUCGAACAGGGUGGAAACACGGCCUUAGUGAUCCGACGGUACUGUGUGGAAAGGCCGUCGCUCAACGGAUAAAAGUUACUCUAGGGAUAACAGGCGAUCUCCCCCAAGAGUUCACAUCGACGGGGAGGUUUGGCACCUCGAUGUCGGCUCAUCGCAACCUGGGGCGGAAGUACGUCCCAAGGGUUGGGCUGUUCGCCCAUUAAAGCGGUACGUGAGCUGGGUUCAGAACGUCGUGAGACAGCUCGGUCCAUAUCCGGUGCAGGCGCAAGAGCAUUGAGAGGAGCCUUCCCUAGUACGAGAGGACCGGGAAGGACGCACCGCUGGUGUACCUGUUAUCGUGCCAACGGUAAACGCAGGGUAGCUAUGUGCGGAGUGGAUAACCGCUGAAAGCAUCUAAGUGGGAAGCCCACCUCAAGAUGAUUGCUCUCACCACUUUAUGUGGGUAAGGUCACGGGCAGAACACCCGUUGAUAGGUGUUAGGUGGAAGUCCAGUGAUGGAUGUAGCCAAGACACACUAACAGACCGAGGGCUUGACCUC